rnacentral:lncRNA from 1 species
UUCAUAUUUAAUCUCUACAAUAGUUUGUUUGAUAAAAUUCAACAUUUUUCUCCACCACUUUAAUUUAUAUUUUUAUUCUUUACUAUAAUAACUACAUAUUAAUAAUAUUUUUGAUUGUAACUACAAUAUAAAUUAUCUAAUUAAUUAUUAUUUUCAAAAUUUAUUUCUCACAAAGACAAAUUUAUUUUUUGCUUCCAAAUUAAAUGAAACAAAUGUCUAUUUAUAAAGCUUUAAAAAUGAUGAAACAUUAUUUUUGGAAUUUAUUCAU